CCUACGGGAGGCAGCAGUGAGGAAUAUUGGUCAAUGGGCGCGAGCCUGAACCAGCCAAGCCGCGUGAGGGAGGACGGUCCUACGUAUUGUAAACCUCUUUUGUCAAGGAAUAAAGGCGGGCACGUGUCCCUUGAUGUUUGUACUUUAUGAAAAAGGAUCGGCUAACUCCGUGCCAGCAGCCGCGGUAAUACGGUGGAUCCGAGCGUUAUCCGGAUUUAUUGGGUUUAAAGGGAGCGGAGAUGGUUGGUUAAGUCAGUUGUGAAAGUUUGGGGCUCAACCGGAACAUUGCAAUGGAUACUGGCAGUCUUGAGUACAGGUGAGGUAGGCGGAAUGCGUGGUGUAGCGGUGAAAUGCUUAGAUAUCGCGAAGAACUCCGAUUGCGAAGGCAGCUUACUGGACUGACACUGACGCUGAGGCUCGAAAGCGUGGGUAUCAAACAGGAUUAGAUACCCCAGUAGUC
rnacentral:rRNA from 1 species